CUAGUAUAUAAUAAAUUUUAGUGAAUUUCUAUUUGGCUCCUUUAAAAAGUAAUGAGAUCAAACGGUUUAAAAUAAAAUAUGGUUCAAUUUUGGAUUUGAUUCGGUUUAUUUUUCUCCAUUUUCCCACCCCUUUUUGGUACAUACGCAACGACACGGCGUCGUUUAGCGCUCUGCAGAGUGUGGACGGUUAUACUUUAUAAUCUUCACGAAGAUUGAAGAAGAAGUUUCCCAGAUCUGGCACGGGCGAUCUCUUUGCCUUCACGCAAAUUGUUCAUAUAAUUCCUCUUGCAGCAGAAAAGUCGGAUCAGUUUCGCUCCAGUUUCUUAGGAUUCACAGAUCACACGGAUUUGUUUCCUACUUCUCAAAGGCUAGCCCGUGAUCUCGAAGCAUUACAAGGUUCAUUGAUUGGUGCCUUUGAACUCUAUGCGCGAGAUCCAGUAUUUUCUGCUAAGGGAAAUCAACCAUUUGUUAUAAUCUUAAAAUAAACAAAAUUUGUGCAAUUAAAUAUGUUAAUAGAUGAAUCCACCACUAUGUGAUUUGUGCCAAAAUAAACAUGUGAACGAUUACAGAAAUACACAUUAACUAAAAACUCAGAUAACGUUUUCAUUAAAUUUUAACUAGUAGUACUAAGAUGCAAAAGUCAAUUGAUCGAUUUUAUAAUUUGAAACUACUAGAUAUUCAAUCACUCAUCAAUUACCAAUUGAAUUAGCAGUUGAAAUGGAUAGUUCAAAUAGAUGACUGAAGUUGAAAAAAAAAACUUAAACAAGAAAGUUGUGACUUAUAAAAUCGAUCAAAUGACUUUUUCAUCUUAGUACUACUAGUUAAAAAUCAAAUUUUAUUUUUUAAAAGGUUAAUGUUGGCUUAUUUAAAUGCAUUUAGUUAUUAGUAUCAUUUCGUCGUUUGUAAAAAUCCAACUUAGUCUGAGUGAAAGAAACACAUUCUUGAUUCCUGUGUUUUCUUAAGAAACACAUUCUUGAUCCUUGUGAUUUUUUUUGGUAAUCAUAAAUUCAAUAGCAAAAGACAGAAUGGUCACAAGAGAUUGAAUCUAAUUCAUCAUUUCAUCGUUUGUAAAUAUCCAACUUCGUCUCAGUCACAAGAAUCAAGAAUGUGUUUCUUAACAAAACACAGGAAUCAAGAAUAGUCAUAAGAGAUUGAAUCUACUUUUAAUAUAUACACAAGAGAGUAAAACUUUGGUUAUACAAAACAAAAAUAGCAACAGAAAAAGUAGAUUUUUCUGAUAUUCGCUAGACUAUCCAAACAAGGCUUCUUAAGAACUAUAUGUAUACAAAUAUUACCGUUUUAGAUAUAACAUCGAAGAAACAUAAAUUGUUGCUCAGUUUUAAUUAGAUGCUAAAACCUUGGUAAUUAGUUCAGGGGUAUCUAAUCAAAAAUGAAUCGUUUAAUUGUAAUAUCCAGUAGACUUACAUACAAGAUAGCAACUCUAUUUUAUAUCGAUCUCAUAUCGUAUCUCCCUCUUUCAGUCUCUCCAUUAUAUAUCUAACCGGACUCGCUUGACUUAACAACAAGAUUACUACACUAACAAACCGUCUUGGUCAUUUGCCAAAUGAUCAACCAAGAUAACACCCGACCCAAACCUUAUUUCUUUAAGUUGUGGUCGUCAAUCGGUCCAAAAUCUUGAAAUGGCCAAAGCUACAUAUCAUUUGAUACAAUAAUUAAAACCAAACCAUAUUGAUUGCCAAAUAAAAUGCAAAAAAAAAAAAAACACUUUUGAUUCGACUAAUAAGACUGUACAAGGUUAGACAUAUACAUACCCUCCAAAGCACUCUGCCUCGAAUAAGACCAUAAGGUAAAGGACCAAAGAUUCUCGAGUCUCUAGAGUUCUGAGUAUGAUCACCUUGCACCCACACAUGCCCUUUAGGAACCUAAGAAAAUAAAGUCAACAGAUCAAAUUGACGUAAAGAACACAUCUUAAUUGCCAAUGUCAAGACAGAAACUAAAACCAAAACUGUAUCUACACAAAUAGCAUUAACAUUUCUUAGUAGUACUAUCAAUGCUAAAGUUUCAUAAAGUACAAAGCUUACAAGACUCGCUGAUUAGUUGUCUAACAACCCAAUUUUCCGACAACAUAAGCGUAGUGAAAGAAGAAGAGGGUUAGUAAACAACAUACCACGAUGGUUCUUGAUUCAUCGUUCUUCUCAGGAUCAACUACAAAGCUUUCACAAUCUCCUUCGAGUCCGAUCACUCUCUUGAUUGGAAUCUUGUUAGGGUCUUCUGGAGAUUGCAACACAAUGACAUCUCCACGACUCAGUUUCCGAGACCGCGUGGAGAUACGUUCUGCCAAUACGACAUUCCCCGAAGGAUGAAGCGUCGGGAUCAUGCUCGGACCAAAAGCCUACUCAAGAAGAGGACAAUUAACAAAAAAAAUAAAAUUGUGAUAAUCUAGAUGGUUUAGUAGAUUAACGAAAGGAAGGAUGAGACUCACGACAGCAGGGAAGGCGAGAUAGGUUGUGGUUACAUGGAGAAAGGAGUAGACUUUCGCGACAAACACACCGCUUUUCAUAGCUUGUCGAUAAGCUACGUUCCAGAAAGACGAUGAAGACCCCAUUUGUUGAUUCCCUGCAACUGAAUUGAACCAAUCCAGAUUCGACAACGAGAAUGGUGUCUGAAAGUUUUGAGAGUUGAAUCGUGGAGGGAGGCUUAGAUGAAACCCGGUUUACAAAAGAUGAAGUCAAAUUCUCAAACCCGGUUUAAAUCAUCAGAGCCUGCGAUUUCUUUGCUUAUAAAACCCGGUUUAAGGGUUAAAUAUAAUUCGAACCGUGAUGGAAAUGGAACACACAAAACUGAGAACAUAUGGGGAAGAUGGAAACGUGAAGAAGAGAUCGGAGUAAGAAGAAAAUCAAAAUUAAUACUGAUUACUGAAUUGCCGAUCCGGUUUUCAGUAAGAUACUGAAACCAAACCGAAUUGACCAAAUUUAGGCUCGGUGUGGUUUUCUAUUGGCGCUUGGUGUGGAUUGCAAAGUUUUAGAAUCCCAUCUUCCUGCAUUAAUAGUCUCUCCGAGUUGUUAUUGGAAAUGCUCUGCUCUGUUGUAUCUUCCAUGAAUGUUACUUAGAGAGAAAGAUAAAUAGUAACUGGAUCGAACAUUUAAUAUGUGUUCUCAGGGCUUGGGAAUCUCUCAAGGCUGGCACGGCAACAUGUUGUAAGUCUAUGGUUAUUGUUCACAAUGGCAUUUGCCUUAAUUUAAAUUGGGAUGGUUUCUAACUGUAAACACUGAUAAGCUGAUGAAAGGAUUAUGAAUUCUAAAGCACGCAAGUAGUACGCAAGAAGGAAAAACGGAUUGUGUUGUCUGAAAGUUACGUGGCCAAUCUUUCUCUUUAUCCGGGGAGAUCAAAGCUACCUUUCAGCCUGCAGGUGGUGAUUUUGUAGCGUGGUGAUAAAGGAUAAAAGAAUUCACAGUUAUUGGCGGUAACACGAUAAGCGGGUUCAGGUUUUCAGGACAAGUUUCACUUCUUUAUAUUGUUUGUAGCUUAAAAAGUAAUAGGACUAAGUAAAAGAGUUAGUUUGGCUUAUCAUGUUUAGGGUAGAUGCGACAUCGGGAAGAUGUUUUAUUGGUUCAUCUGAUAUUUCCAAAUAAACAGAUCACAGUUGUAAGGAGAAAAUUCGUGACAAGCAUCGGUCAAGUCAAAGAACUUUAUCAAUGUGUGAUCAUUUGUUUACACUAAGGGGGAAUGUAAAAAUAGCUUCAAGAACACUUACAUAUCAGCGUAGAGUUCGUGUAUUCCAACA